UUUCACACUGAAGGAAUAACGAAAGAGGUAAGCAUGCUAGUGUUCAGUAAUUUGUCUUUCUCAAUUCACUCCUUGAUGCUUGCGAUGGGUAUGAGAUGAUAUAAAUGUUUUGGCUCUUUUUAUGCGGGCACAAAUUAACCUAGAACCAAGUUUGUAUAUUAUGUUAAGGGCAGUUAUUUUAGUCAGAUCAAGAAUCAGAACAUCAAUUUCGAAUUUGACCAUAACGCUCAUAUCCUAUGUCUACUGGGGGCAUGACGAUCAUUUUUGUGCAAAUAACUUUUUGUCAACUUAUUACUUCCAAACAUGGGCAUUACCAAAAUGCAGAGGCCAUAGUUUAGGGACCAAUUAGGAAUUUUCCUCAUCCCUUUUUAAUUUUACAAGAUUAUAUGAGGAUUUUACUUGCUUUUUCCUCCAUUUUCUUUCCCUCCCCAAAGAAACAGUAAAAAAGAAGGGAAUUCAAGCACAUUUUCAAAAUGAGAAAAGCUGAGUUCAAAGAAAAAAAGCCAUGAGUGAUACAAUCCUUUCAAAAGAUCAUCUUGUAGGACAUAUGUUUUUACUAAAGUUUUUUUCGUUUUUACUAAAGUUUUUUUCAUGUUUCAGAUGGCAGGUGGAAUCCUAUUUUUGCAGCCAGCAUCAUUAACUAAAUUCACUGAAAGGUGCAGAAUGGUACCAUCUUUUAUGCCUUUUUCCCAAGUACAGGUCAAACUAUCUAUAUAAUUGGAAGGAAAAGAAAAUGGUCGGAUACACUAGUGGAUAAUCUGGAGAGAGCAUACUGAAUGAAGACAACUUCCACUGAGUCUGUUUUGUCAUUUGCUUCAAUACUUGGACUAGAACUCUCAAUGGAUAAUGAAAAUCGAUAACUUUGAUCAUAUACUUAUAAAAUGACAUUAACCAAUUGGAAAUAUUGAGGGUUCAUGUGUAAAUUUUAUAUUCCUUCGUAAUUGAUGCCUGAGAUCAAUGAACUGCGCCAUGCUAUCCAGAAUUCAGUAGUCCAAAUAAUCUCAGCAUAGUAGGUUACCGUGAACAUGAUAUAGUAUUUUUUGGUGAAUGGUAUGAAAGCAGUGGUUGUCAAACCCAUGCACAUCCACAGGAGUACUUUCCUCAUAAGCUGAAUGUUCUUACAAUGCACCUCCCAAGAGUCAUUUUAGUUGGGCUAAACAGCCAACUAGUAGUAGGCAUUGUACACCAGGAUUUAUGGUCCAUGAUGUGAUGGAAUUAAUUGUCAACUGUGAGAUCCCACGAGAACGAGAAAGUGGAUACAGUUUUUUCAGUGUGGUUUAGGAAUACUAUGUAACUGGUUGAUGUCUUUUUGGACAAUGGCUUUAGACCAUGUAUUGCGCCUGUGGGCCCUAUUGAGCAGGUCACGUUCGCAGCAUUUUCCUCAACCUUGGGCGUGACAUCUGGAUCAAUUGGCGACUGAUUAUUUAGUUUUCAGACAGUUCUGUAAUCAAGGGAGAAAGAGAAUGAAGGAAAAAUUAACAAGAAUAAAAUUGGAGCUUUAUCACAUUCUUGGCUAUAGCUUGUAUAGAUUCUUGUAAACUUCCUUUACACUAUUUCUGACUUUCUUAUAUUCAGUGAGAUGAUUAACUUGUCAUGGGUCUGAUUUUUUUAUCAUACAAUUAUGUUUUUAAAUCAGCUUGCAGCAGAUCUAUGUUUCAGUCCAAAAUCAUGCAAAGCUUCUUAUAAUCAAUAGCAUGACUGCUCUUGUUUCUGGGUGAACUCCUUUACUUCCAUUUCAACGUGUGUUCACAAGAUUUUUAGGCCUCAAGUUAUUAGCUCUCCAAGAGAUUCAUAUGUUUUACUUUUAGCCUACUAGUCACUUUGUUUCUUACUUAUAAGUAAAUAAAUGAUUUAUUUUGACAACAAGGGAGGAUAACUGACAAAUACGAAACAAGCUUUUAAUUAAAGAAUAACUUCCUUCAAUAAUUUAAUAGAAUCACUACCUAUAACCUAAUCCCAUCUCAAUCUCUUUCUGAAUGUCAACCCUCUUCUAUUCCCAUAGCUGACAGCCCAUCUCUCUCUCUUUUUUUUCUGCUUGUCAGUAAGGUCUCCCUUCUUUUCUCUGUCCUUCCCCAUCCCGUUCUAAAUGUAAAGAUUUUACCAUUCUAAAUGUUCUACAGUGCAAGUUUUCAUAUCCGAUGUGAAAUUACCAUCUUAUAUAUUGUUUGUCAAAGACGGACACAUACAUUGUAUAUUCUUAUCCUCGUUUCCAAUGCUGAAGGGCUUAGCAUUAUUACAUGCUUAGAGUUAGGUGGUUGUGAGCGUGUUAUCUUAAAACAACUCGGUGAUUGGUUUCCACUUACAAGCUAGAAUUUAGCUGUAGCGGAAAUCUCUCGAUAAAUUUUGAUUCCGGGCUUAGAAAACAAUCAAACGAACACCAGUUUAUCCUGACUCGACCCGAGACUUUCGCCUUCACUUUGAACUGCUCUCUUUCUCUCUAACCCUACAAAGAAGAAAGGUGGUGGUGUUAGUAAUCCACAAAGGUACGGAGAGGAAGAAGGAGAUAUCACAAUGGUUGAAUCUUACUCACAACCUCACAUGACUUCCCUCUCUCUCGGCUGCCUCUCUUCUCUCAACUCUCCUCUCCAUUGCUACAACACACACACACACCAAAACGGAUGGGAGAUAAAUACAUAUAUAAAGAUUAGUUUAGGUCCCCAAAUAUGGGCCAAGAGAUCUCUAAGUGGGCUGCCAUAUAACCUAAACUAAUGGGCCAAUUUCCAACUUUAUAUUAAUUACUAAAUGGUCUAACUAACCAAAUAAUCAUCCAACUCAAACCCUAGCCAUCCAAAAGUGUAGUUCGUGUCCGAGCCGAGCCAAGUCCAUGGUGUCGAUAAAUAAUCCAACAACUGUUUUAAAUCAUUGCCCGGAUUAUUGGGUAUCAAAAAACCCAACACUAGCAUUUUCUUCACAGUUAAAGCAAAUGACAAUAUAUUAUCUUCAAAUCAUCUUCUUCAAAAUAUCUCGGUUUUUUCCGGUGAGAAUGGGCAGGGACCUCCUGGACAGCAUGCUUUGGGUUGGCAUAUCUCAUUUAUCAAGUGAGAUUUUGUGGAAAUAUUGAUCUUCUUGCUUCUCUUAUCCCAAUUUUGACUUUGUUUAUAGUUGAUAUUCUUUCUUUGCACAUUCAGAUCACUUGCAGAAUUUUCUCGAAUUCCUGUAGUGGUGACUAACCAAGUACGAUCUCAAGGCCAUGAUGAAACUUCCAGAUAGUUAUUCCAAGGUAUUAUUUCUAAAAUAUGCUGUUGAAUUCUCUCUAAACUACUAUAAUAUUAGAUGUUGUGCAGUUCAAAACAGAACUGACAAUCCAGAAGAUCUGACGACCUUUGAUUCUCAUCUUGUUGCUGCUCUGGGGUAUCAGUGGCACACGCGGUUUCUCUUCGUCUUGUGCUUGAAUCUAGAUUGUUAUUGUUGUACCUUACUUUGGGUGUAACAUCUUUGAAGUUUAUGCUGCACGAUCUUAUGCCAAGUUAUGUUUUGCAUGAGUAAUUAGUUAUCCAUUUAUUUAUGUUUCCUUAUCUUGGAAUGCAUUUUCCCUGAAUGCCUUAGCGUACUUUUUGUUAAUAGGGCAGCAUUAUUUCUCAAAUAUUG
rnacentral:lncRNA from 1 species